CAAAUUUGUGUGGUAAUAAUUUACAAACGUUUGCGUUUCGAACAUCUUUCGUUUUUCAAAAUGAGUUGUUAAAUUAUUUUCUCUAAACAAAGUGUGAAAUAAAUUUAUUGCGUUUUUCGCUUAAAACACAAAAGUUCACACUGACUUGCUGCUGAACUGGUAAAAGGAACGUAAAAAUGUGCCAGGCGGUAACAGCAUGGAUUAAAUGGAAACACACUUUUUAUACAAAUAAUAAUUCUUUUCAAAAAUGAUGAGUUUUUAAAAAAUAUUUUUGCUUAAUAUUGAUAAGAAUUUAAUAAACUUUUUUUUAAUAAGAAAUAUUAUCGCUAUAAUAAUA